rnacentral:misc_RNA from 1 species
UUUCUACUAAGUAGUUGCCAAUUAGUUUUUCAAUGGAAAUGCAAUCUUAGUGUUGGUGUGUGUGUGUUCUGUUUUGUAAUCCUAAUUCAUUGAAUCAGUUGAACUCUUGGUCAACUCAAAAAAUAUUCCAUCUUAAUGAUUCCUUCAAACCUUUCUGAUAUCAGUGCUUAGAGAUUCACCUUCUGAGACUAUUUAGCAUCCAUACUAUUGGUUACAUAUGUCUUUGUUAUCUUGGAUUUUCUUUUCUAUUUAUGUCUUUUUGUCAAUUGGAACCUAAUAUGAAAAUUUGAUAUUCUAGCUGAUGGGGUAAACCAUGUUUGAAUUUCUCAUGUUAUCUAAAAUGCAUUUGUUUAGGAGCUAUUCAUUUUUCUGUCCCCUCUUCUUCUGCAACAUAAAAUGUUCAUGUGUUCAAUUUUUAUUUUCCCAUUUAUUCUCUUUUUAUGGUAAUAGACUCUUCUCUAACCGCAAGUGA